rnacentral:rRNA from 1 species
GACGUAGGGGGCCAGCGUUGCUCGGAAUUACUGGGCGUAAAGGGUUCGUAGGCGGUGUGGCAAGUCGGAAGUGAAAUCUCCAGGCUUAACUUGGAGGCUGCUCCCGAAACUGCCAUGCUAGAGUGCGGGAGAGGCGAGUGGAAUUGCAGGUGUAGCGGUGAAAUGCGUAGAUAUCAGGAGGAACACCGGUGGCGAAGGCGGGUCUCUGGGCCGAUACUGACGCUGAGGAGCGAAAGCGUGGGGAGCAAACGGG